rnacentral:rRNA from 1 species
AUGUCUGCUAGGCUCUCACCGAGCUGUACUCGAUGCCCAAUGGGGCACAAGCUCCGACUGAGGAGGGCGAGGCGAGCGGGGGCGAGAGCCAGGAAGAGGAGGAAUGGGACUCGGACGUUGCAGAGGAUGACGACGACGAUGAUGAUGACGACGGCGAUGACGAUGACGUUGAGGCCGAGGAAGAAGAGGAGGAGGAGGUCGUACCACCGCGCUCAGAAAGGCGAUCGAAGCUUGUCCACGACCCUUCGUCUGAACGUGGCAAGGGGGUUGCGACCGUUGUUCAGUCGACCAAGCGCCCUCGGACCACCUCUCCGGUGCCGACUGAAAAGGCACCGAAGCAGCCCAGGGCGGCCUCGUCGAAGCCGAUCAAGCUCCUGCCGAAGAUGA